CUUGGGCCACUCCUGCGGCAUAUGGACGUUCCCAGGCUAGGGGUCCAAUUGGAGCUGUAGCCACCGGCCUACGCCAGAGCCACAGCAACGCCAGAUCCAAGCCAUGUCUGUGACCUACACCACAGCUCACAGCAACGCCGGAUCCUUAACCCACUGAGCAAGGCCUGGGAUCGAACCUGCAACUGAUGGGUCCUAGUCAGAUUCGUUAACCACUGAGCCACGGCGGGAACUCCUGAUCUGAUUAUGGACCCUCUCUUGUCCUUUCAGCCCUUGCAGAGAAGCCCCCCCUGCUCUAGGGUACAACCUAUUAGCCACCCAGCUCUCCUAACGCCCCUCACCUUUCUCUAUUUUUUCCAUAGUCAUCAUCUAAUAUAUAUUUACUAGCGCUAUUGUUGCCCCCCCCCCACCCCAGCCGCUGCCCCAAUCAGAAUGUAAGCUCCAGGAAGGUGGAUUCUUUUCUUUUUUCCUUUUUAGGGCCACACCCAUGGCAUAUGAAAGUUCCCAGGCUAGGGGUCUCAUCGGAGCUGUAGCCACCGGCCCAUGCCACAGCCAUAGCAUGCAGGAUCUGAGCCACGUCCGCGCAACGUACACCACAGCUCAUGGCAACACCAGAUCCUUAACCCACUGAGCCAGGAAUCGAGCCUACGUCCUCAUGGAUACCAGUCUGGUUUGUUUCCGCUGAGCCACAACGGGAACUCCAGGACUUAUGUUACUUAAAUGGACACUGACAGUUAUUUUGGUAAGAAGGGUCAGGUGAAGAAGCGAGUGCUCUCAGCAAAGACAGCAGGGGUGGCCACAGGGGGACAAAGAUGAGCCGAAGAAGGACAGGCUGUGACUUACCCUCCUGCUCACUCUUGUUUCCCCAGGAGGCCCUUGCCCUGGACACCCUACUUGAGGAGGCCCCUUUCCCAAGGGCUCGAGCGUGGUCACUGGCAGCAGCCCUGAACCACCACGUCCUGGCCAAGUGCCCGGCCUGUGAUGGAGCCCUCGCUUCUGCUGCCAGGCAAUCCCGAAUCUUCCCCCCCACCCCCCGCAGGCCGGGGCGGAACAGCCCUGCCUCCUCACCCCAGGCACCGGAAGCCCCAUCCAACUGCAGAUCCAGGUGCUGGGCAGGUUCCUACAUGUGAACGCUAAGCAGGAAUACUGCCCAAGGGUCAGGCUGGCCCCCGCUGCGGGAUGCUUCCCCAGCCACCACGCAGAUGGAAGCAGGGGGCUUUAGAUCAGGACACUGAGCUGACACCACCUGGGCUUUAUUGCCGCUUCUGUAAUGGACAGUCAAGGUGACAGGUGACAGGCAACUAUGCCUGUAAACACACACUUCAGCCGAAGUACGUCUGCCCCCUCCCGGCCCAUCACCCCUCCACUGAGUGUGGCCAGGGAGCUGCCACUCACGGAGACACGGGGUCCGUGAUCACUCCUGCCUGCCCAGGGAUCAACCACUGCAAAACACAUCUGGCUCCAGCCGCAGGAAGCUUAAAAAAGACCUUUCCCCUCUGAAGAGCUGAUGGCAUCACCCACACAUGAUCCUCUCAGUUGGCAGCCCUGGUAAAGCAGCUUUACUGCCAAACAGUGAUGAACCAGAGAAGAAAGAGCUUUCAGUGCAAAUGCACUUAACCAGCAGAAACCGUCUCUGGGGAAAGCUUUUCCUCUCCUGACUUCCCAGCCUCAGCCGUGCAUCAAAUCACUGGAGGCGCCUAAAGAAUCCUGAUGUGUAGAUCGUGCUGCAGACCGAGGGUACUGGGCCUCCGGAGGCGGCACCCGGGCAUCCAGGCCUGGCAGCUCUUUGGGUGACUUCAAGGUUGAGAACCACCAGACCAGACGGCUGCUAUUUAAAAUGUCUCCAUGUUGAAUGUGACCUGCGUUGUGACAAUUCUGCAUGUACCCACCUGCCAGCUCUCCACACCCUAAAUCAUCCCAUCUGCCACCUUCCCUUGUAAAGGGAGCAGACGUGUCCGGUUAACUAGGUUGUGGAUUAAACAACAAGGUGGACCUUCUUUCCAACUCUCUUCCUGCUGCUGACCCGACAUGAAGAAAGCCAGUUCUUCCAUCCUCAGCAGCUUCCUGCCAGAACCUGGAUCUGCGGGUCGCUCUCGCUCGCUCUCUGAUCCCAUUCAGACGGGGAAGGGGUCCUGGGGGUACCCUUACCUGUGUGACUCAUCGUGUUCAUUGUGUCAGUGACGGCAUCAAGCAUCACAAACUAGGAGUUCCCGUUGUGGCACAGCGGAAACAAAUCUGACUAGUAACCAUGAGGUUGCAGGCUCGAUCCCUGGCCUCGCUCAGUGGGUUAAGGAUCCAGCAUUGCCAUGAGUUGUUGUGUAGGUCACAGACGUGGUUCAGAUCUAUUGUUGCUACGGUGUAGCAUAGGCCGGCAGCUGUAGCUCCUACCCUGGGGAGCUCCAUAUGCUGUGGGUACGGCCCUAAAAAACAGAAAAAAUAAAUAAAAAUAAAUUACUAAAUGUGAUUUAAAAAAAAAAAAGUCAUCUGUAAACUAGGCUUGAGGUGAAGCAGCCACAUUAGCUUCUUGGGCUCUACCCGCUGCCACCUCUCAUCCAUGUCACCAGUGCCUCUGACGCUUCUGUGGCGACAGCACUUCAUCCGUCUCAGCCCACCAGUCCUCUUUACCACCGAGAGGGACAGGAACACGCCAGCAGCCCAGGGGCCAGAAAGCAGAGGCACAAACCACUAAGGAAAGGUAUUUUUUGGCUUUGAAAAAUCAACCUAGGAGUUC
ensembl:lncRNA